rnacentral:lncRNA from 1 species
AUGAAUGAAUUUCAAAACAAUGCUGCUUCCACUGACUGUACAAGCCUAACUUUAUGGAGUAAAUGUGUGACACCCUGUGCUGAGGCAAACCCACCAGACUAUUCCAUAAUGAAACCAGAUUGGGUCUGUCAAAUACAAAAGGUGCCUGGAGUUAAUGAGGAGGCCAUCGGACUGAGGUUGCUUUAAUGCCCUAGGAGCCUACUAAGCAAGCCAAAAACCUAACCUCCUAAAUGCCUUAAGGUGAAGAACUUUUAACUGAAAAACAGCCAAUCACAAACAGCCAGCUAAGCCUUCCCAAAUAUGGCACCCACUUGAGCUGGAGCCAACCUGGUAAUUUCCUUGCUUUGUUUCUGCCUCUCCUCUAUAAGUCUUUCCCCUAGUUCCUGUCAGUGGAGCGCUCUGAGGGCGAGCAGACAAUGUGACCCUAAAACAUGUCACUCUUGCACGGGGAUCAUUUUGAGCUGAGGCCAUCAGGAGCCGGCAGACCAGAGAAAACCUUUUACUUCUUCCUUAUCUAUCUAGAAGACUUCAGAUAAGGAGCCUGAUCCUGAAAGAGAGCUAUUACCAGAAAUAACUUUAAAUCUGAAAGACACACCUGUAUGGCAGGCAAAUAGCUACCAAACAUCUCCUUUUCUACUGUCCUAUGGACAAUAUAAAAAACCAUAUAUAUUUAUAUGUUUGAAAAGUCCAUCUCCUGUCAUUCUCCACUUUGAAGCUUCAACUGCUAGAUUUGCCCUUGGGUCUCACUGCGUUUACGGGGCUCUUAUAUGUAUAUAAUUAAACUUGUUUACUCUUGUUAAUCUGUCUUAUGCCACUUUAAUUAACAGACCAACCAAAGAAUCUAGAAGUGUACAGAAAAAAUAUUUUCUCUCACAGUUCCUAACUGCUUCCAGUUUAGAACUGCUAGAUUCGAAUAGAUUUUUGCUCAAAUAAAUUUCUUUAAAAAUGUGCUUCAGUUUAUUUUUUAACACUGGGAAAAUGUUAAGAAUUAAGUAGUAUACAAAUGUGGUACCUGUGUUGUCUG